UACGGAGGGGGCUAGCGUUGUUCGGAAUUACUGGGCGUAAAGCGCACGUAGGUGGCUUUGUAAGUUAGAGGUGAAAGCCCGGGGAUCAACUCCGGAAUUGCCUUUAAGACUGCAUCGCUAGAACGUCGGAGAGGUAAGUGGAAUUCCGAGUGUAGAGGUGAAAUUCGUAGAUAUUCGGAAGAACACCAGUGGCGAAGGCGACUUACUGGACGACUGUUGACACUGAGGUGCGAAAGCGUGGGGAGCAAACAGG
rnacentral:rRNA from 1 species